rnacentral:rRNA from 1 species
UACGUAGGCGGAAAAUUAAGUCAGUGGUGAAAUCCUGCAGCUUAACUGUAGAACUGUCAUUGAUACUGGUUUUCUUGAAUACAGUUGAGGUAGGCGGAAUGUGUAAUGUAGCGGGGAAAUGCUUAGAUAUUACACAGAACACCGAUUGCGAAGGCAGCUUACUAAACUGUUAUUGACGCUGAGGUACGAAAGCGUGGGGAGCGAACAGGAUUAGAUACCCUGGUAGUCC